rnacentral:rRNA from 1 species
UGUAAGCGUAUACCAAAGUUGUUGCAGUUAAAACGCUCGUAGUCGGAAUUUGGCAGUUCCGGAUGUGUGCACGUCGUGUGCGCACUUCGCGGGGAUUGCUUUUGUGGUCUUGCGUAGGAUGAGGCACUUUUAUUAGUGAACGUCCUCACGCAACCACUUUUUACUGUGAGAAAAUCAGAGUGCUCAAAGCAGGCAUUUGCCGUGAAUGUAUUAGCAUGGAAUAAUAGAAUAGGACUUGGUUCUAUUUUGUUGGUUUGUUGGGACUUAGUAAUGAUUAAGAGGGACAGUUGGGGGCAUUUGUAUUUCGGUGCUAGAGGUGAAAUUCUUAGAUUACCGAAAGACAAACUGCUGCGAAAGCGUCUGCCAAGGAUGUUUUCAUUGA